CAUUUAACUCUGCAUUCUGCAAGUGCUUCCGGGUCCUCAAUCGCAGAAAAAGAAAGAGGAGAAAAUGAGAAUACUUAAACAAUCAAUUUACAGAUUUCAUUGCUCAUUUCCAUGAAGAUUCAAUACCCCUACACCCCUACCUAGAGAGAGAGAGAGUUCUAGUCUGAUGAAGAGGUACAGAAAUGGAGAAAUCUGGGAUUUUGAGGUAGAAAUGCCGUUAACUCCCGAUGGGUCUGAGGUUAUAUUGGGGCUCGAUGGAGGAACGACCUCCACUGUGUGUAUUUGCAUGGCCAUGCCCUAUUUCAAUGAAGUGCCAGACCCUUUGCCUGUUCUUGCAAGAGCAGUUGCAGGUUGCUCCAACCACAACAGCGUUGGAGAAACUGCAGCCAGAGAAACACUGGAAAAGGUUAUGGCAGAAGCCCUUUUUAAAUCUGGGUCCAAUCGCUCUGCAGUCCAAGCCGUUUGUUUAGCUGUAUCUGGAGUCAACCAUCCAACAGAUGAGCAACGCAUAUUGAACUGGCUUAGAGACAUCUUUCCAAGUCAUGUCAAGCUAUAUGUCCAAAAUGAUGCUGUGGCAGCUCUGGCAAGUGGAACAAUGGGAAAGCUCCAUGGAUGUGUUUUAAUUGCUGGUACAGGAACCAUUGCUUAUGGGUUCACAGAAGAUGGAAGACAAGCUCGAGCUGCUGGUGCAGGGCCUGUUCUGGGUGAUUGGGGAAGUGGUUAUGGGAUUGCUGCUCAAGCAUUAACAGCAGUAGUAAAGGCUCAUGAUGGUCGAGGGCCUCAAACAAUGCUUACUUCUAGCAUCAUACAAAAGCUUGGGCUUUCCUCACCAGAUGAAGUCAUCGGGUGGACAUAUGCAGAUCCUUCUUGGGCUCGUAUUGCUGCCCUUGUUCCGGUGGUUGUGUCCUGUGCAGAAGCCGGUGAUGAGGUUGCAAAUAGAAUUUUACAGGAUUCUGUGCAGGAGUUGGCUGCUAGUGUUAAGGCUGUUGUCCAAAGACUUGGUUUGAGCAGUGAAGAUGGGAGGGAUUCUUUUCCACUUGUUAUGGUCGGGGGUGUUCUUGAGGCUAAUAAGGGAUGGGAUAUUGGGAAAGAAGUCAUAAACUGCAUCUCCAAGGACUUUCCAGGUGCUCGUCCAAUUCGCCCCAAGGUGGAGCCUGCAGUUGGAGCUGCAAUGCUGGCAUGGAAUUUCCUUUUGAAAGAAACAAAAGGUAAUGUCAAAAGCUGAGGGCCGCAAGCAACUCAGCUCUGCACUUUGGAAAGUCCAUUUGAUUGUACAGUUUGGUUGAGUUUUAAUGAUGUGGGAGAAAGGAAUCCACCAAAAGCAAUGGGGAAGGGGACAAAAAAAGAAAAAGAAGGACAUUCCUAUCUGGUGCUUCUAUAGGUUGGCAAGGCUGAUUUCUUAUCCAAUUAAUUGCAUUGAUGUCUCAUGUAAGUUGAGCUUGCUUGGGAGUUUCUCUCUCCUUAAAAAUGUGAUAAUAGUCCUGUACUACUAGGCAAAUGAAUGUUGGAGAUGUAAGUUCAGUGUGAAACUGCUUCUUGGUUAGCUCUAUCCUGGUAUCUCCCAUCCAUAUUUAGCAGAUCACCUAACAGCAAUA